GUGCAUGCCCACUUCGGCAGCACACAGACUAAAGUUGGAAUGAUGCAGAGAAGAUUAGCAUGGCCCCUACGCAGGAAGGACACUCAAACCUGUGAAGCGUUACAUAUUUUU